UACGGAGGGUGCAAGCGUUAUCCGGAUUCACUGGGUUUAAAGGGCGCGUAGGCGGCCUCCGCAAGUCAGUUGUGAAAUCUCCGAGCUUAACUCGGAAAGGUCAACUGAUACUGCGGGGCUAGAGUGCGGAAGGGGCAACUGGAAUUCUUGGUGUAGCGGUGAAAUGCGUAGAUAUCAAGAGGAACACCUGCGGCGAAGGCGGGUUGCUGGGCCGACACUGACGCUGAGGCGCGAAAGCUAGGGGAGCGAACAGG
rnacentral:rRNA from 1 species